rnacentral:misc_RNA from 1 species
GAAAAAUUGAUUGUUUAAGUUUAGUUGGAUUUUUAUUGAACAAAAAUUCAAAAUAAUCAAAUCUAAUUCAGGAUUAGCUGUUGUUUGCCUGCCCCUCUUCCCUCUCUGUCUAUUUACAGUCACACUUUAUCUGUUUCCAUCCUCAGAGUCUCGUGGCUUCUUGUUACAAUUCUUAUCCUCCUUUCUUUUUCCUCAGAAGUAUGCUUCUUAUCUGCAUGGUACAAUAAACUUGUAUCUCUAAAAAUUCGUGUAUCAUUAAUGGUUUGCAGGAUCCAUAUCCUGGAGUUGUUUUUUGUAAAAGAUCAUAUGAGGCGUCUGUCAGUAGCCGAUAUAUGUAUAUAAUGUUUCCAGUCAUCCAGAGUCAUCAGAACAAAUUCAACGAUAUGACUAGUACAUAAAAUUUAUGAGAAUCCUUAAUAAUUACACAAUUCCUAAUACAAGCGGGGAGAGCAUGGAGAAUGCAUUCAGAGCAUGUAGCAAGGAAUCAAAAUCUGUAAAAUCCUCUUCCACACAGAGGGCAAAAACAGAUGACAGGUUCGUGGGGAGCGAUUGUCUAUCCCAUGCCUCAACCUUUUACACUCUCAAACACAAUCUUUAUACAUACCUGUAAUGUUGCUGCAGUUCAUUUAUGAGAAGCUAACUGCAGACUUCCCAAGCCGCCAUGUUUUAUUGCUUGAUCCAGUUCUGGCUUCAGGUUCGAAACACAAACCUGCAUUUCUCCUUAGUAUAUAAUCUCAGCUCACAUCUAUGCUCGAAUAGGAAACUGUGCAGUAAAAGCAAUAUCACUUACUUCUUAGCAAGGGUGUUACAUAAUCUAGCAUCAUCUUCCUUAACCUCAUAGCACUGGGAGUCAUUUUUUAACUCUUUUUUUUUUUUUUACAAAUUCCAAUAUAAAAUCAUUGGAAUUGAAUUGAAGUUUUAACUUCUUUUUUUUUUUUUU